UCCGAGGUGCAGCAUGGACAGAUUGAGCGUUUAUCUGCUGUUGAUUUGGGCGUUCAGAUGUUCAUAUGCAUUUAACAUGGACACAGAACAUUCACUGACAUUUUAUGGCAAACAAGAAGACUUCUUUGGCUACAGCGUUCAUCAGUACCAAUCUGAAAAUGGGAAAGAGAUCAUCGUUGGAGCUCCUUUAAAUGAUUCAACAAAGAGAAUUUACACAUGUCUCACAAAUCUAAGGAACUGUACACCACUGCAGCCAGGUUCAGAGAGUAACAGACCGUUGGAUUUGUCAACUGAUGUGUCGUCUUCUGGUACCACAAGCAUCACUAGUUGCAGUCCAUUUCUUGGACAUGAAUGUAAUGGAAACUCGUAUCUUAAUGGUAUCUGCUACCAGUACAACAGCAGGUUACAGCCGGACUCCAACUUCACCACAGGUUUUCAAGAAUGCACAAAGCAAGAAGUCAAUCUGGUGUUUCUAAUUGAUGGAUCUGAAAGUUUGUCAACAGAUAAUUUUAAUUCAAACAAAGAUUUCAUCGUAAAUAUUAUGACAAAACUAUCAAACUCCUCCAUAAAGUUUGCCGCUGUCCAAUUUUCCAAAUCUUUCCGAACUGUGUUUGACUUCAACGACUAUCAGAACAACCUUGCUAAAGAGAAACUCAUGAAAGAUCCGCACAUGCAUGAAAUCACAAACACGCACGGUGCAAUAAAAUACACAUUAGACAAACUGUUUAAUAACGUGUCGUCUGGAGUGAACCCCAAUGCUACAAAAGCCCUGGUGAUAAUAACUGAUGGACAGCCACAUGAUGUUGAUUAUGAUAAUGUCAUCGGGUCAUGUGAUGAGCAAAAUAUAGUCCGGUACAUGAUUGGGGUCGGAGAUGUUAGCCCAGCAAGUCUGAAAUUGAUGGCUUCAGAGCCCAAAGACAACAACACCUUCUACAUUGAUAAUUACAAUGGACUCCUGGGACUCCUUGACGAUCUGCAAAAAAAGAUCUACAAUAUUAAGGGUUCACACGAAACAAACAAAAGCAACGACCAACAGAACUUUGAAUCAGAAUUAUCUCAGAGUGGAUUCAGUGUUGUCUAUCACACUACGGACCCUGUGAUUGUGGGUUCGGUGGGAUCUUAUAACUGGCGUGGAGUUCUGUAUGAAGUCCGAGGUUCUGGAUUCAGAGAAACCGAGAAUAAAGAUCCAGCUGUCAAUAAAGACUCAUACAUGGGUUACUCUGCUGUGAUUGGACGCAGAGGCAACGUCUCUCUGCUCGUCUCUGGAGCUCCACGUGCUGAACACAAGGGUAUGGUGACGCUCUUUCACCAAAAUAACAACACAUGGACUGUAAAGAAGAACAUCAUAGGAAUUCAGAUCGGGUCGUAUUUUGGAGCGUCUCUGAGCCUGUUAGACAUCGACUCUGAUGGAGAAUCAGAUUUUCUUCUGGUCGGGGCUCCGUUAUAUUACCGCUCUCAGCCGAGGAAAGAAGGGAGGCUUUACAUCUAUACUUUAUCAGAGGAGUCGUUUCUAAAGAUGAUGAACAUGUGCGAGUCAAAUGCAGGCAGAUUUGCUGCUUCUCUAGCAUCACUGAAGGACCUGAAUGGAGACGGGCUGUCAGAUGUGGCGGUCGGCGCACCGCUAGAAGAUGAAGGGACCGGAGUCGUGUACAUCUACCUCGGCGAUAAGAUGCACGGCAUAAACCUGAAAUAUAGUCCUCAGCGGAUCUCAGCGAGGUCAGUUCUGCCGGGUCUGCAGCAGUUUGGAGUCUCUGUGGUGGGUGAGAUGGACAUGAAUGAUGAUAAUCUGACAGAUGUUGUGAUUGGAGCACGCGGAGGAAUCGUUCUGUUGAAAGCUCGACCUGUGAUGUUUGUAUCUUCACAACUCAGUUUCAGCCCCAGUGAAAUCAGCUUAAAUGACUUUACCUGUUCGGAUGUGGAUGUGUUUCAUGCGUUCACCCUCACUUCAUGUUUCACUGUGUUUGAGCGAACCAGCAGCACAGGUUCACUGAACAAGGAUCUGAAAAUCUCUCUGAAUAUUAAUCUGGAUGUUGAAAGAGAAAUGAAUCGAGGAUUCUUCAAGCUACAGAAUUCAAGAUCCAGGAGUCUUCAGAAUUCCACCCUGCUGGUUUCUGAUGCCUCCUGUUUUAACUUCUCAAUCUUCAUGUCGCGAUGUGUUUUUGACACAGUGACUCCACUGAAGAUUCAAAUGAAUUUCUCACAAACUGAGUUGUCUUCUGAUCAACCAUCAGCUAUUCUAGACAUCCACAGCACGACAGGGAUGUUUGUUGAGGUACCAUUCGAAAGGAGCUGUAACAGUGACAGAUGUGUGCCCGAUCUAAAGCUGAACUUCAGAUUUAUUAAUGAGACCUUACUGGUGGUAAAUCAAGCUUAUUUUAUGGUUCUUAUAAUGCUGGCUAACAAAGGAGACAACUCUUAUAACAACAGCAUAGUGCUGCACUACCCAGAGGGCCUGUCGCUCUCCAAAUUUGAUGCUGUUAAGAGCCUCACACACAGCAGCUGUGGCAAUCGAGAUGCCGGUGCUAUGAAGAGAACCACCUGCAGUAUCAAUCUACCAGGGUAUCGAAGCGAUAUUGAAACUGAGUUUCUAGCAACAUUUCGUGUGACCAAUCGAGACUACCACUGGCCAGAUAUGAUGGACAUGAUCAUCAUUGCCGACAGUGAUAACAACGGUAACACCACUAAUGCCACAGUGAAGAGGAGUAUAGCGGUUCAGUUUGCCGUUGACUUGGCUAUCAGUCUGGUGAGAGAAUAUUCUGUCACGUAUCUGAAUCUCUCUCUGGAGGACAGAAGGCCAAAAUCUCUCAGCAUCACCUACAAGGUGGAAAAUCUGGGUCCUAAAUCUCUGCCAGUAUCAGUCACACUCCUAUUGGCCUGUUCAAAAACACAUGUGAUGUUCACACCGGAGAGCUUCAGCAUAGACAAGGUCUUCAGUCUCUCUAAUUUAACACAGUGUCAGAUGAUCAAUGAGAAACAGGAUGGUUACUGUGGGAAGUUUCAGUGUGAUGAAUUCUAUCUGGAGACAUCUGCAGCUGUUUACUUUGUUCUGACAGCACAAGCUGCAAUUCAAAACACAAAGGAGUUUGAGUCGAGAUUUUCCUUUCACGACUUCAGUUAUGUCUUUAACAUCAUUGCCCAUCUGAACUACAACAGAAGCCACUACAACCAGAUGACGACCGGUUUAAAGGUUAAAAGCAUAUCUCUGUUACAGUAAUACAAACAGAUCUGAGAUCAUUGUUACAGUGUCUCUCUCAAGUAGAUGAUGUGUAAUGUCUCCAGCUUCUUUUAGUAAUGUGAAGUUUUGUUGGGUUCAAAUCUAUAUGAAUGAGUAACAUUAUGUGGAUGUUUAUUAUUGUCAAUGCUCCUAUAUGGUGUGAUAAACAUGAGCUUAUGAAACAUGAUCACUACAAGUCAUUUCAGAUGAAGGUAAAUGUGCCACAUUCAGGAAAUAUCAACUUUCUGUGAUGUUAACUGUUCAUAAUUAAAAAUGUCCUCUUUCUCUGUAGGACGACCCAAGUACAUUUCAGACCACAGUCAGGGUGGAGUUUGUAGUUCUGCCCAGUCGAUUGCUGAUUAUUUGCACGGGUGCUGGAGGCGGACUGAUCUUACUCAUUAUCAUAUUAGUUGUACUGCUGAAGG